GUGCCUCCUCGGGUCUCAUCAAAUAUCGUGGCCCGCGGGACGGGUCAAGUGGCGCCCGAACGUGGGGCUCGAGGCACGGUGACCUACCGGACGACGGAUAACAAAAGGGGCCCCGGAGAGAAUUAGGGUAGAGACGCCCGGACCGCAUCACUCGUGCAACGCGGGAGAGUCUUGAGAAAUGCCUCCGGCUUGGAAAAUAAAGGGAGCCACGGACAUCUCAAUGGCAGGACCUGUUCAUCGCGAGCCUUGGAAAACCAACCCCUGCUUCAUCGUUUGCUUACUACUCUUCCCCCUUCCCCUCUCCUGCAUCUCCAAGGAAAGCCCCCAUGCUAUUAAAAAGCUUACCUGGCGAAUUUUCACAGUAA